GGCUCGGGCCACGAGGCGCGUGUGCGCAAUAUCAGGUUUCCACGUCCACUGGCACAGUGGUUCGACG
rfam:Drosophila ficusphila unplaced genomic scaffold scf7180000453927, whole genome shotgun sequence